AGAGUUUGAUCCUGGCUCAGGAUGAACGCUGGCGGCGUGCUUAACACAUGCAAGUCGAACGAACCUUCGGGUUAGUGGCGGACGGGUGAGUAACGCGUGAGAAUCUGCCCUCAGGAGGGGGAUAACGGUUGGAAACGACCGCUAAUACCCCAUAUGCCUACUGGUGAAACGAAUUUCGCCUGAGGAUGAGCUCGCGUCUGAUUAGCUAGUUGGUGAGGUAAUGGCUCACCAAGGCUUCGAUCAGUAGCUGGUCUGAGAGGAUGAUCAGCCACACUGGGACUGAGACACGGCCCAGACUCCUACGGGAGGCAGCAGUGGGGAAUUUUCCGCAAUGGGCGAAAGCCUGACGGAGCAACGCCGCGUGAGGGACGAAGGCCUCUGGGCUGUAAACCUCUUUUCUCAAGGAAGAAGAUAUGACGGUACUUGAGGAAUAAGCCACGGCUAAUUCCGUGCCAGCAGCCGCGGUAAUACGGGAGUGGCAAGCGUUAUCCGGAAUUAUUGGGCGUAAAGCGUCCGCAGGCGGCUUUUCAAGUCUGCUGUUAAAACGUGGAGCUUAACUCCAUCAUGGCAGUGGAAACUGAAAGGCUUGAGUAUGGUAGGGGCAGAGGGAAUUCCCGGUGUAGCGGUGAAAUGCGUAGAUAUCGGGAAGAACACCAGUGGCGAAGGCGCUCUGCUGGGCCAUUACUGACGCUCAUGGACGAAAGCCAGGGGAGCGAAAGGGAUUAGAUACCCCUGUAGUCCUGGCCGUAAACGAUGAACACUAGGUGUCGGGGGAAUCGACCCCUUCGGUGUCGUAGCUAACGCGUUAAGUGUUCCGCCUGGGGAGUACGCACGCAAGUGUGAAACUCAAAGGAAUUGACGGGGGCCCGCACAAGCGGUGGAGUAUGUGGUUUAAUUCGAUGCAACGCGAAGAACCUUACCAGGGUUUGACAUCCUGCGAACCUCUUAGAAAUUUGAGGGUGCCUUCGGGAAUGCAGUGACAGGUGGUGCAUGGCUGUCGUCAGCUCGUGUCGUGAGAUGUUGGGUUAAGUCCCGCAACGAGCGCAACCCACGUUUUUAGUUGCCAGCAUUUAGUUGGGCACUCUAGAAAGACCGCCGGUGAUAAACCGGAGGAAGGUGUGGAUGACGUCAAGUCAUCAUGCCCCUUACACCCUGGGCUACACACGUACUACAAUGCUACGGACAAAGGGCAGCAAACUCGCGAGAGCUAGCAAAUCCCAUAAACCGUGGCUCAGUUCAGAUCGUAGGCUGCAACUCGCCUACGUGAAGUAGGAAUCGCUAGUAAUCGCAGGUCAGCAUACUGCGGUGAAUACGUUCCCGGGCCUUGUACACACCGCCCGUCACACCAUGGAAGUUGGCCAUGCCCGAAGUCGUUACUCCAACCCUUGUGGAGGAGGACGCCGAAGGUGGGGCUAAUGACUGGGGUGAAGUCGUAACAAGGUAACCGUA
rnacentral:rRNA from 1 species